CUUGGUCAUUUAGAGGAAGUAAAAGUCGCAACAAGGUCUCCGUUGGUGAACCAGCGGAGGGAUCAUUACAGAGUUAUCUAACUCCCAAACCCAUGUGAACUUACCACUGUUGCCUCGGCAGAUGUUGCUGGGCGAACCUACCCUGUAGCGAGCUACUCUGUAGCGACCUACCCGGGAACGGCUUACCCUGUAGCGCCUGCCGGUGGACUACUAAACUCUUGUUAUUUUUAAGUAAUCUGAGCGUCUUAUUUUAAUAAGUCAAAACUUUCAACAACGGAUCUCUUGGUUCUGGCAUCGAUGAAGAACGCAGCGAAAUGCGAUAAGUAAUGUGAAUUGCAGAAUUCAGUGAAUCAUCGAAUCUUUGAACGCACAUUGCGCCCAUUAGUAUUCUAGUGGGCAUGCCUGUUCGAGCGUCAUUUCAACCCUUAAGCCUAGCUUAGUAUUGGGAACUGGCUUUACUGCCAUUCCUCAAAUUCAACGGCGGAUUUAUAGCAAUCUCUGAACGUAGUAAUUUUUUUCUCGUUUUUGAAAUACUGUAAACCUCAGCCGCUAAACCCCCCAAUUUUUAAUGGUUGACCUCGGAUCAGGUAGGAAUACCCGCUGAACUUAAGCAUAUCAAUAAGCGGAGGA
rnacentral:rRNA from 1 species